AAUUGAAUGUAAACUCUAAGAUUUAUUUAUUUAUUUCUUCUCUCUUUUUCAGAGAUUGUGUAUUGUAUGAAGUAUGAACACAGAUUGAAAAAAAAGGAAAAUCAUAUGAUUAACUGGAGAGCGCAAAGAUGAAUGAAAUGAAUUCCUUAGUUGAUUCACAAGCAUCAUUAAUUAUUCUUUGGAAUUGAAGAGAAGAAAAACAGCACAACAUCAUUCUUGUUGAAUGCAGAAGCAACCAACCCUAGCUCAUCAUCAAUCAAUAAAUCCAUGUAUCUCACUUUGCCUGAGAGUGAGAAGCAAUGAAAUCUACUGCAAGAUCAAUGGAGGUAAUCUUAUCAGCUUCAUUGUCUGGAAUUUCAAGCGCAAACUCUUCUUCAAGUGCCAUCACAAUCUCCACAGUAUCCAAGCUAUCAAGCCCAAGGUCUUUCUGAAAAUGGGCUUUUGAAGUAAUCUACGAAAUCAUUCAAAUUCUGGUUCAGACAUUUCAUCGAACAGUUCCCCCUCCCCCCUAUCGAAUUGGGAAUUGGGAUCUCCCGCUAAAAACAUCUCAUCAUUGAGAAACUAAAAAGAAAAACUUAUUAAAGGUAGUACCUUGGAAGGGUCGACCUUCCCGAAGUCCUUGAGGACGGAUACGAUACGGUCUGAUACCUCCGACUUGUCCAAAAACGCGCCUUUCACCUCAUCGGAGAAGAAUCGGUGGAAGAUGUUGGACAUGGAAGGACCUACAGAUCGAUAAGAAAUGGAAAAUGAUCCAGAACCGGCAGACUUCACCCUUAGGUGCUUCAGGAGUCCGGCUCUUGCCGCUGCCGCCAUCACUCUGUCUCGCUCUUCCUCUCUCUCUCUCUAUCGCCGGAGAAGAGAAGAAAGUAUUCGGAAACCUCAGGAUUGGUAUUUUGUUGGAUCGAUUUUACCCACCUCUUUGGAACUUAACGGACUGGGCUUGGGCCUUCCUUAAUAUUCAGACUGGGCCUUACUUAUUCCGAGUUUUCAAAUUUGAAAUAUAUAGUUAAAUGGGAAAUGUGAAAACGACAUUAUAAGAUUUUUUUUUUAAUAUGAUAUAAACAAGAUUUAUCUCCCAAUGUCGUGUCUUUGGGUGUGUCUUCGUCUUGUCUAGUUGAUCCCAGUUGGUUCCCAGACAUUUACAUUCACAGUAUCUUAGGAGCGACAAUAAUAGACAGAUUCGUAAAAAAAUACGACACAACACGUUUAUAAUAGUGUCGUUUUAGUUUCGAAAGUUUUACCACGAUUAAUAAUAGUAUUGGUUUAGUGUUUGUCUCUAAAAAUACGACACGACACGAAACGUAAACUAACAAGACACGAUUAUAUGACACGAUAACACGAAAAUAUAAUAUGAUAUUAUCAAUUAACUAUGUUUAUCUUUUAUGUAAUAAAGUUAAAAUAAUAUUUUUAGGUUAAACUUAUUAAGUUUUAUAUGAAACAUUGUAAACAUAAAAUAAUAAGGGUAAAAUAAUAAUUAUGGUGUAAAAUAAUAACUACAUAAUAUAGAUAAAAUAAUAAAUUAUACACAUAUAUAAUAAUAAUUAUUAAAACAAUAAUGUCGUGUCAACUCAUGUGAAGGUCGACUUUCUUAAAAGUCGAACUAAAAAAGUCGAAUUGGUCAAAGUUGAUCAUUAAGAAAGUCGAUCUCAAAAAGUCGAAUUGAAACAAGAUCUGGACAAUUAGACGGUUACAACCCAAAUGACCAAAUUACCCUCAUAAAAGUCUUAUAAAUAGAGGGGCACCCUCAUUCAUUCGGGCAGGUUGAUUUCAGCGAGAGAAGUCUCAGAGAAACAGAGUCAGAGCAACUAAAGAGUUCGGGUUGAUUUUCCCACGAAAUUCUCGGUUUACGUUUGUUCGAAACGUCGUUGAGCACUGAUCGGGUUCCACCUUCAUCACUUACAAUAAUGGAGGUCCAGGUGAAUUUAGGCAAGCAAUUGCGGGAACAAAUCUACAGGAAAUAAAGUAUACAAGCGGACCGUCUACCUGAACCAACAAAGGCAAAGGGGGAGAAUUGUUGCUUAAUUAAGUAAGAUAGCUUGAUAUUCAAGAUGGGAGGCAAUAUUAAAGGAUCACACCCCUUCAUAAUGUUCAACCUUUGACAGUGACAUCGAACUUUAGACUGAUGACAAAAUUGCGAGCAGUUAAAUCUGCAACCAAAGUAUGGACAAAAUCUUAACUUCCAAUUGAAGCCCAAAUUAGCAAACAAACAGAUCUUCUACAUCACAUGACUUCGGAGAACCCAAAUUUUCUAUACUUGUGGAAGGAAUUCAAGGGUGGUAGCAAGGAUCUCCGUCAAUGAGAUCCUCUAUCACCCAUACAUACUCUUUAACAUUGUCAUUGAAGUCUUAUCUCAAACCUUCCACUAUGCGGAAGGAAAGGGCGACUGGAGCAACUACAUCAUUGGCGACACCAAGUCUCCAUCUCACAUCUCAUCUUCGCAGAUGAUCGACCUCUUGUCUUGUGCUUUGCAUGGGCCAACUGGAAGUCGAUCAAUACAAUAAGGAGGAUUAUGGACACUUCAAUUCGCAGAUUUCUCAGGAUUAGUUUCAAAUCAGCAGAACGGCAACUUAUAUUGGUAGUAAUACGGCUUUACGAUAGCAGAAUUUCCCAUCAAGCAUCUAGGAGUGCCUCUGAACAAAAUGGGUGAUGGAUGGAAAAUAACUCUGUAGAUGAUUAUUGCAAUGGGUGAUGGAUGGAAAAUAACUCUGUAGAUGAUUAUUGCAAUGGGUUUCCAUCAAAUCUGUAGAUGAUUAUUGGAUAUUUCACUUCAAAUAUUUAAUAUUCCUUAAGUUUAAUUAAAAUUUGAUUUGAUGUUAUUUUGUAAAGUGAAGCUUCAUCCAACCAGAUCUAACAUAGAUUAGAGCUUAUAUUUGCUUGGCAUCUUAUCCAUUUAAUAAUCUUCCUCACUGUGAAGUUAGUGACUUUGUUGGUUGAGAAAUUCAUUUGAUCUUUUUCUUAGAACAAGCAUGGAUUAAUUGAGAGGAUUUUCUCCCUGCUACCAAAUAGAGAGAUUAGCCCAACCGAUCACAGUCACUAUUAAGGUUUUUAAAAAUUCAAAAUCGAGUGUAUUUUAAUUAAAAAUUUCACUACCAGGUGAUGAAUUAUGUGAUCUGACUGAUGUAGAAUAUGAGAAUAUGACAUUGCAAACAAAUGGAUGGAGUGAUGAACAUAUAAAACAAGGGAAAAGGGAUUGAACUAAUUGAAUGUUUCUUCAGCAAAGGGACUUGGUAAGCUACUAAGCUCUAAAGUUAUUUUCUUCUCUCCUUUUCUAUUUAAUCUUCUGGGAUUGGGUAUGAUUGUAUGAAGUAUGAACACAGAUUGAAAAAAAGGAAAAUCAUAUGAUUAAGUGGAGAGCACAAAGAUGAAUGAAAUGAAUUCCUUAGUUGAUUCACAAGCAUCAUUAAUUAUUCUUUGGAAUUGAAGAGAAGAAGAAGGAAAAAAAACAGCAUAACAACAUACUUGUUGAAUGCAGAAACAACCAACCCUAGCUCAUCAAUCAAUCAGUCCACAAUUCCACAUAUCACUUUGCCUGAGGAUGAGAAGCAAUGAAAUCUACUGCAAGUUCAAUGGAGGUGAUCUUAUCAGCUUCAUUGUCUGGAAUCUCAAACCCAAAUUCUUCUUCAAAUGCCAUCACAAUCUCCACAGAAUCCAAGCUAUCAAGCCCGAGGUCAU
rnacentral:lncRNA from 1 species